AUUGAACGCUGGCGGCAUGCCUUACACAUGCAAGUCGAACGGCAGCAUAGAGAGCUUGCUCUCUGAUGGCGGGUGGCGAACUGGUGAGUAAUGCAUCGGAACGUACCGUGUAAUGGGGGAUAACGUAGCGAAAGGUGCGCUAAGAACGCAUACGACCUGAGGGUGAAAGCAGGGGAUCGCAAGACCUUGCGUUAUACGAGCGGCCGAUGUCAGAUUAGCUAGUUGGUGAGGUAAAGGCUCACAAAGGGGACGAUCUGUAGCGGGUCUGAGAGGAUGAUCCGCCACACUGGGACUGAGACACGGCCCAGACUCCUACGGGAGGCAGCAGUGGGGAAUUUUGGACAAUGGGGGCAACCCUGAUCCAGCAAUGCCGCGUGAGUGAAGAAUGCCUUCGGGUUGUAAAGCUCUUUUGUCAGGGAAGAAACACCGGCUCUAACACAGUCCGGGAAUGACGGUACCUGAAGAAUAAGCACCGGCUAACUACGUGCCAGCAGCCGCAGUAA
rnacentral:rRNA from 1 species